CGAAAGCUGUGAAUCAGUGAAGAUGUUGGAAAGCAGAGACGGUAUCCAAAUUUCUAUAAUGUAAUUUUUAUACUUACAAAUAUUAGCUACUUUUUAGUUUUAAAAUAAUCAAACCAAAAUACAAAAAACUUAGAAUUACUAAAAUAGUUUUUUUUUUCUUGACAGCAAGAAAUUUACAGACUCAUGUUGACUCUGUAAACCAUAUUGGUAACUCCGCAUCCAUGUGAACGACAAAGGACAGUUGCUUGCGUGCACUACGUGCUAAGCUAUCCGCCCGAAGGUUCGCCGUCCGAGGUACAUGGACGAUGUCUGAGUUGAGGAAGCUUCCUUUGAGGAAUUUGAUAUCUUCCAAAUAGCUUUCAAAUGCUGGCCAUUCUUCUGGUUCCGAAACCAUCUUCACCAAUUGAGAACAAUCCGUUGCAAACGUAACCUAGACCUGUCUUAAAUUCCUCAUACAUUCCAUUGCCCAAAUCAAAGCCUCUAUCUCCGAAUGCAGGGGAGAGAGGCAUGCCCUUACAUUCCUUGCCCCCAGUAGACCCUCAAACCCCGGUAAAGUACUAUACCAGCCUUGCCCUGACAUUAAUUCUUUAUCCUUCCAUGAUCCAUCAAUAAAACAUCAUCGACCUGAUGUCUCUAAAGGAGGAAUGGUUUAUAUCUAAAAUAAUUGAGCUAUUGUUAACCCACAUCAUAUUUAUCACUAAAUAUAUGUCAGGGUGAUUAUGUAGAUAUCCGGUUUAACAUUUAUUGUGCAUAUUUCAUAUCUGAAACCCAAAUUCGUCAGAAAUUUCCAUGAAUUUCUGACAAAAACAUAAACUCUAAACCUAUCCCCCAAAUCGUUUAACACUGCUCGGGAAUUGUUGUUAUUUAUUAUUUCGAACAAAAAAAAAUUGUUGAAAAUUCUUUGGAUAUUUUUGACGAAAUACUGACGAAUGGUAAAAUUUCAUAUUCGUCAAAAUUUUCUCAGUAAUUUCUGACAAAUAUAUUUCCGUCAGAAAUUCCAUCAUAAAUUCCGUCGAAAAUUAACAUGUUUUCUUGUAGUGGUAUCCUAUGCUUUUUACAAGCCACAUGGUUUUCUUUUUCUGGCAAGAUUAACCGGAGAAGUAAAAUUGUUAGUUUAAAAAUCUAUGGCUUAAAACCACUGUGGCCAGGUUGUAUGAGGCGGUCCAAACCCCUCGUCAAAUCUAUGGCUGAAAAUGUAGAAUUGGUUGCAACCAACAACGAUCAAUGGAGGAACACUAAGAGAUCAGGACUUAAAACCUUCAUGGUUGGGUAAUUGGCCAGAGAUGGAGAAUGUUUGCUCGAUAGAAGAAUGUCAAUUUUGGUUUUCACUCAGUGUCAGUUGCAUGGUGGAGAAGACAUUGGAAUCUUUUCUCUUCUACUGGAAAUCAACUAGAUGGGAUUUGAGAUCAAAGAUAGUGGAAGAUAAUAAAAAUGAAGUAUAUCAGUGUAGUAUAGACGAUGAUUAUCAAUAUAUGUUCUUAGAGCACCCACAAUGGAGGAUGAAGAAGAAUCCUUAGCUCUUAAUCCUAAGUUAUUAGCAAUAUAAUAAUAAUAUAAACACUUAGUUAACUAAGGAUUGAUCCCUAAAUAAGGAUUUUAAGGACCAAAUCCUUAUAGACGUGGCGGCUUGGCAUUGGGUGGCCAUUGUGCUUUUGUUGAUUUCUCUUUUGCCUCGUGUUUCUUCUGAUCUCGUGCGGAUCUGUCAAAGCAUGGAAACGACGGAUCGAGAUCAGCGACGAUCUAGACGACAUGGAAGACAAUGAAGAAGACGAAUCAUGGAAAUCAUCAUCGAGAUCGACUCAAGCGUUCACAGUGAUCAUCCUUCUGCUCGUGGUGAUUAUGAUUCUUCUCGGUCUCGGGAUCUUGUCACUUCCCAAUGCAAACAGAAAAUCUUCCAAGCCCAACGACUUGACCAACAUUGUACGCAAGAGCCAGGAGCAGAGGAGUGGUGGAGAUGAGGAAGGGAACGGGGAGCGUUGGGUUGAAGUGAUUUCGUGGGAGCCUAGAGCUGUUGUUUACCACAACUUCUUGAAUCUUUUUGACUUUGUGAUCCCAUAGAGUUUAGAUCUACUUGAAUCUUUUAUUUUUGAAAUGUGUUGAAAAUGGAGGAAACACAUUUUUGUCAGUUAGAAAUUGGAGUUUUUCAUUUUCAAUGAAAAUGACUCAGAGAGAGGGAGGGAACACACAUGUGGCUUGUGUCUGAAAUGAGUUACUAAAUUGGAAUGUCCGAGAUGUGAUCUUGUGUUUCUUUCA